rnacentral:rRNA from 1 species
AGUGAACGCUGGCGGUAGGCCUAACACAUGCAAGUCGAACGGCAGCACAGUAAGAGCUUGCUCUUACGGGUGGCGAGUGGCGGACGGGUGAGGAAUACAUCGGAAUCUACUUUUUCGUGGGGGAUAACGUAGGGAAACUUACGCUAAUACCGCAUACGACCUACGGGUGAAAGCAGGGGAUCUUCGGACCUUGCGCGAUUGAAUGAGCCGAUGUCGGAUUAGCUAGUUGGCGGGGUAAAGGCCCACCAAGGCGUCGAUCCGUAGCUGGUCUGAGAGGAUGAUCAGCCACACUGGAACUGAGACACGGUCCAGACUCCUACGGGAGGCAGCAGUGGGGAAUAUUGGACAAUGGGCGCAAGCCUGAUCCAGCCAUACCGCGUGGGUGAAGAAGGCCUUCGGGUUGUAAAGCCCUUUUAUUGGGAAAGAAAAGCAGCAGGUUAAUACCCCGCUGUUCUGACGGUACCCAAAGAAUAAGCACCGGCUAACUUCGUG